AGGCAAUAUUGUUGACCAAAGCCAGGACAAGGACACUCUCUAAAGCCUGACAGGCAGAUUCUUGCUGCUCUGGGUCCUUGGAUGCAAGGAACGGAUGGAUGAUUCUCGUCUUUGACAAGUACAAGCGCCAGAGAAGAAAAAGAAAUAUUUAAUUUCAGAGAGCCGCAAGGGACCUUAGAAGUCCUCUGUGUAGCCAAAGACUUCCAAGUGGAGUGAUUCAUGUCUACCGGCUGUAGGGGUACAGAGGCUUCUUUGAUUUCACUUGCCCAUUGAACCCCAACACCACAUUAAGUGCCUAGAGCAUAGCAGAUUCCAGUAGUAACAAGGAUGCAGAAAAGAAGGAAUGGUGCUCACUUUGAGAAAUUACAAUCAGAUACAGCACUUUCUCUGGUGUCCAAGUCUGUUUUGUCAUCCGCCAACUCCUUGCUCACCUGUACCGCUACCCUGGUUCCCCAUGGGUUGUAGGACUGACUGAGUCCAUCCGUGGCAUGUAGGGAAGAUAAAGUUUACCUUAGUAAGGACUGACCAUGAAUCAAGUGUUUCUUGCUUAUCAGUGGCUACAAGGGUGCAAAUCUCAGAGCCUGUAAGCAGUACCUGCCUGCUCUGUUCACUACUGUCACUCCACUCUUUCUCUACUAUACUACGCAAAGAAGCUCAGCAGGUAUGCGUCAGAUG